rnacentral:rRNA from 1 species
GUUGUUUAGUUGAAAAUCAAUUAAAUAGUUUUCGAUUUUAAGUAGUAUUGACUUUAUCAGCUUGCUGCUUUCUUUUCGGAAAUUAUUUAAUGCACUUUUCAGUUAACAAGUCAACAUCAAUUUCUUUUGUUGUAAAAAGGUAAGAGGAAGGUGGCUUGCGCUUCGGCUCAAGUGUUUAUAGCCUUUUACCCCUGCAAUCGGAGAGAUUGAGGUCUGCAGCGUAGAUCCUUCGGGGUUAGAUACAUUUGUGCUAAGCUAUAGCCUUGUAUAGACAACUUGUUGACUAUGCUCAGUCAUGUAGCUUACUCGCUUAUGUUAUUUUACCUAC